GCGCCCGCGAGCUCGCCCUUCCCGCUGAUUGGCCCGCGCCAAGCCAAUCAAAAUUGGCCUUCUAGGUAUGUGAACUUAGCUGACGGCUGAUUGGUCCCUCACGCAGAGACGUGGGGUCAGCGGCUCAGAGCGCGGCUGUGUGGGGCUGCGGGGCUCCCGCCAUGCCCGCUGUGGUAGGUCCCUGCAGACCCCGGCCACUGGAGCCACUCAUCAUUUCCGACGGAUGGGCCGGAGGGGCCGCCGGCCGCCCCAGCCAGGGUCUCGGUACCCUGCAAGGAGAGAAAGGUGGGAGCAGCCCGCGCGGGGCCCUGCGUCUUGCAUAGGCGCUUCUGGUAAAAUCACUCCUUUAUCUCAGAUAAUGAGUUGGCGCUGGAUCGCUGCGUCCUCAGGUGGGGCUCGAAUCGUGACUUUUAGAGAAAUAGGUUUUCUUUAACAACCUGGAGUUUAAAGGCCGCAGAAUUGGAAGCAGUCGUCACCCGGAGGCCUGGUUGUGCAAGCACCGAAGCUCUGGCUGGCCCUUAGCCUCCCCACCCCACCUGCUCUUUUCGCUUGAACGCGUGUACUUUGGGCAGUUGCUGACGUGGAGACAGGACGUAUGUCUUCAUAUUUUAGUAAAACCCAGUGCUCUCUGCCUCUCUGAUUAUGUUAAGUUAUCGCUAGUUCCAAUUUGUAUUUCUUGGAAACGGUUGGGUCUUCCCUCACUUUUCAGUAUUUUCAUGCAGACUCAAAUACUCUGGAUUAAUAUUUGUAUUUGCCCAAACCAUCACGAGCACCUCUAACCCUGAUGGGCAAUACUUCAGUGUGCUGCGUUCUGGCCACAGAGCAAACAGGGUGCUCCCAGGCACUGCCCUCUCGGAUUUCUUGCCUUGUUAUUUAAUCAUUAAGAACAUGACCUAUGAGCAGGAGUGUUUCCAGCCAGCACAUACACACAUCCUCUCCUGGCCAGCAUCCAUGCUGAUUAGGCGGUGCUCCUGCCGUACUAGCUGCCUAAUAUUUCACAUACCCCACCCCGUGUGUGUGUGUGUGUAAAUCAUGUCACUGCCCUCUUUGUAGCUAAUGACAAAAUUCCAAGAGUCACCAUUAGCCUAGCACAUUAUGCCUGUCUCAUUUCUGCCCACUUGGGAGCACUCGGCUUCUCUGCUGUCUGUUUUCCUCCUGAGCACACUGAAACAUUGCCAUAGCACAGCAAGGCAUAGAAGACAGGCUCAUGCUCCCCUGGACGCUCAGGCCUUCACCUCAGGCACACUAGGUCUUGUCAUUCCAUGUCAAGAAUAGCUCUUCACUGCCCUCACCCACCCAAGAAUGCUAAAAUUAAAAGGACUGACAAUAUCUAGUUUGUCGAGGAUGUCGCAGCUGGAACCCUCAUACAUGGCUCAUGAAAUCGAUAAAACCACAUUGGCAAACUGAUAGUAUUUACAAAACUUAAACAUAUGAAUAUCUGAUGACCAACUAAUUCCUCACCUCACCCAAGAGAAAUGAGAGCUUAUGUGUACCAGAAGACGUGAGCAAAACUACCCACAGCAGCUUUCUUCCUGAUGACCCCAAACUGGAAAUGAUCCAGAUGUCCAUCCAUAGGAGAAAAGAUUUUAAAAAGAAAGUAUGGCAUGUUCACAGAGAGGAAAUUCUGUACAACAAUGGAAAAGGGCACACAACCACAACCCACAACAAUGUGGAUGAAGCGUACAAUGAAGUCAGACCCCAGAAUGUACAGACAAUUCCAUGUGUGUGAUGUUCAAAACCAGGAAAGCAAAUCCAUCAUGACACAGGCUGGGGAUGUGAAGGAAACUCCAGCCACCCUGCCCCUGUGUUCUGAGUAACAAGGCCUAGAUCCCAAUCCUUGCUCUGCCUCUUAUCAGAGACAGGUAUCAGACAAGUUGCCUAACUUUUCUGAGCUUCAGUUUUAUGUCUAAAAUAAUGACAACCAUAGAACCAAUCCCAAGGAAGUUUCAGAAGAUCAAAUAUGAAAGAGCAUGGAAAGUGCUUAAAAACCAGGGACUGUCAUGGUAGCUCACAUCUGUAAUCCCAGCACUUUGAGAGGCCAAGGUGGGAAGAUCUCUUGAGCCCAGGAGUUUGAGACCAGCCUUGGCAACAUAGUGAGACCUCAUCUCUGCAAAAAAUUUAAAAAUUAGGCAUGGUGACACAUGCUUGUGGUCCCAGCUACGUGGGAGUUUGAGGUGGGAGGAUCACUUACGCCCAGGGGGUUGAGGAUGUAAUGAGCCAUGAUUCCAUCCAGCCUGGGUGACACGGCCAGACCUUGUCUCAAGAAAAAAAAAAAAAAAGCCAGACACAGAGUCCAGCACACGUCAGUUUGUGACGUGAGUGUGCUCCAGGCUGGAAGUUUGGCCACUACCACUGCCUGUUCUAGGCUUUUGUUUCCAAAGCCCCCAAGUAGAGGGAAAGAGGAGCAGAAUGAGAUCUUGGUGAACCCAAGGUAAUGGGGACCCAAGCCAAACCCACAGAACCUCCUUGAUCCCAAGGAGAGAGUUGCAGGCUCCUCCCAGAUCACACCUCCCCAGGCAGCCUGUACCCAGACAGAAGCAGGGUUCCUGGGCACAGUUGUGUGGUUUCUUCACUCAUCAAGGGUCCCUUGCCAAGAGCACAAGUGAGGCUUGCAUUUACCCCGUGCUCAGCUAACCAAAUCAUGCACCCCAGCCUGGGCCUUAGCCUGCUCCAAAGCAGCACCAUACAUGAAUUUACACAGGAGCACCCUGGGCUAGUGGUGGCCCUGCAGAGAGGCCUGACACCUGAACAGCAGGAGCCACCACCAGACCAGAGGGGACCAUCAACCUGGCUAGACAGGGCAGAGAAGCAGUGGGCCACUGAGGCAAACAGCCUCACUUUGACGUGCUAAUGGCUCCUUCCAGCUACGAGAGUUGCUUGGCCCAUGUGUGGGGACAGCCAUCAGCAGUGACAGGGUGGGGUGAAUGUUCCAGCCACUCUACUCUGCAGUCAGGACAACUUCAGGACGUGUUCUGCACUGGCUCCUGGCAUCCCCCGCAGGACGGCUUCAGCCGCCUAUGUCCUGACCUUCUUGGUCAUGCCUGUUGUUCCGCCUCCUGUUGUUCGAGACCAUCCUGGCUAUCACGGUGAAACCCUGUCUCUACUGAAAAUACAAAAAAUUAGCCGGGCACGGUGGUGCAUGCCUGUAGUCCCAGCUACUGGGGAGGCUGAGGAAGGAGAAUCACUUGAACCCAGGAGGCAGAGGUUGCAGUGAGCUGAGAUCAGGCCGCUGCACUCCAGCCUGGGCGACAGAGGGAGACUGUCUCAAAAAAAGAACACUGAGUACAUCGUAAGGGAUGGCGAAGAUGUGGCACAGGGGGACUCCUUCAUCUGCUCUGGAAAAUGUGGCAGUUUCUCCUCUGAUGCAACAUGUGCUUAACAUGUGACACAGCAGUCCCACUUUUAGGUAUUUAAAGGAAUGAAAACUUAUAUCCACACAAAAAAAUCACACAGAUGUUUAUAGUGAUUUUAUUGAUAAAGUGUCCAACUGGAAACUGCAAAUAUUCUUUCUGGGGACACAGAUACAUUGUGGCGCCUCCACCCUGUGAAUCCUACUCAGCAAUCCGAGGGAUGAGCGGUUGAUUCAGGCAACACCGCGGAUGGAUCUCAGGGCAUCGUGCUGAAGUCCCGCAUUCUCAGCAAGAUGCUGCUUCCCGCAGAUGGGCAAACACUGGUCUUUGGCAGAGAUGUUGCAACAGAGGUGCUUUGUUUAGUGCAGUGGCAGCAGAUGACGGCCACAGGGCAGCUGCUCUGGGGGCCUUGGAAACUACAAAUGCUCAAACCCCCUUCCCAGAAGCCACAUCUCAGCGUGCAGGAACUGGGGUGUGCAUCUCUCCCAACAGCUUCCUGGUGACGCCGAGCUUCACACCCACCCAAUCCACGGGAGCAAUCCGACUGGCCUGCAUGGCAGACGGUGGCCCAGUGGCCAUUACCUCUUUGCUUUGCUCAGGAACUGGGUGGAACGUGCCCGGGGAAGGUAGCCCCAGAACUUCAAGGGAGCCAUGACAGACUCAAGCCUCAUGGAAACCCCUUUCCCUGGGCCAGAGUUGGUUCCUGGGUGGCGUGGGGCUGGCUCUGGCCAGGGCGGAGUCGGCCCCUGCUGAGGUUUCUGGGAAUUAUGUGCCUCCCAGGUGGAGAGGAAGACAACUGAGGGCACAGCAUCUCACUAGCCCCUCCUCAGCCACCAGGUGCCAAGCCAGGUGUCACCCGAGCCAAGCAGCACACGACCGCCCCUGCCCACUUCCACCUCAGCCCUGACCCUCCCUGCACCUGGGAGUCCACUGCCUCCUGAUGUGUCUGUGAUCGGGGCGGCCACAAGAGCACGUAUCCCGGGACAUGAUGUGUUGUGGUCUGUGUGGGGUCAGAGCCAUCAGUGUUCACUGCCGUGUCCCCAGUGCUUAGCACUGUUUGCCGCAUGGGAGGUGCAGGUCACAACCCCGUAGUGCCCAGUGGCCCGGGGGACACCUGGCUUGUCUGGGCCUGUUGGCUGACAGGUGGGAGGGACUGCCAUCCAUUGUUGGGGCCAAGGAUGCCGCUUAACCUCCCACAACGCAUGGAGCGGCCCUGCGCACAGACUUACCCGGCCCCAAACACCAACUGUGCCGAGGUGAUGCUCUGCCCCGAGGGAAGCGGACAAGGCUUGAGCAUCGAGAACACUGCAAGGGUCUCAGCCAGUGAGGGGCUGCCUGGGCCCCACCGCAGUCCUGACUCCUAGAGCCAAGCCGUUUUCUCCCUUGAGGCAGUGGGUAGGGCUCUCACGUGACAACCUUGGGUUUGCAGCUCGGCUGUGCACACAGGUGGACCCUCCGUGCUUUGUCAGUUCCUACUGCUUGGCCCUGGGGCCGGAAGCUGCUUCUCAGGCCUCACUCUGAGAAGCAUCUUCACGCCCUGGGUGGGUCCAUUGCCUCUUUCCACCAACUCUGCUCCUUGGGAAGGGCAUGUUCAUCAGCAGGGCCAGGCAGGGAGCGCUCAGGACAGCCAGACCCGGGGCCAGUGGCAUCGGUAUGUGUGGGAAGGGGCACCAGGUACCUGUCCUCCCUGUGGGCAGAGCUGUCUGUCCUCUGCAGACCUGCAGUUUCUGUAAACAUCCUGGAAGAAGCCAGGAAGCAGCAACUCCAGAUGCCCAGAGGAGCCCCAGCCAAGGCAGAUGUAGCCAGGGCAUCAGGCCGUGGGGCUGGGCAAGGUGAGCCACAGGUUGGAAAGGCAGGGGCGCACGGCAGAUGGGGAUGCCGAAGCCAGAUGCUGACCGAGCUCCACCCACAUUUGUGAGGGGCAUGAGGGCUGCGCCAUCAGAGGCCUUAGCUGGCUCCAGGCUUGAAUUGUGAGUCCCAAGAGCCCAAGUUUUAUUCCCACGCGGCCGCGGUGUGCCAGGCUUAGCCUCCCUGUGUUUCUGUAAAACAGCACCCUCGGUUUUUAUAUGAGAACCGAAUUCAAGGUACUAGAAGUCCUCAUAUGGGAAGGGAAAAGUCGUGGUUUCAUAAGCAAUACACUCUGGCUGAGCCCAAGUUAAGAUUUUCAAUCCAAGUUCAUCAGCGCCCAGCUUUGGCUGGGACUGCUCUGGCUGCACCUGCUGUGUGAGCUGGCGCUUCUGAUUCAACACCGCACUUGGUGAAAGGGUCCCAGAACAACUGACACUGAGAGUCACCAGCGGCGGCUCUUCCUAGAGGAGCAUGUUCAGGAGAGGUGAGGCUGCGGGGCUGGGGCCCUGCGCUAAUACUCCCUGGCUGUGUGACCCUGGGCAAAUUACUCAGCCUCUCUGAGCUGCUGCUUCCUCUCCUGUGGAGUGGGCUGAUCCCAGCCACACCAGCACCCCUGGUUGUUCCAUGGUUAAUGUCUGCCAAACACAGUGCCAUGGAGAACACCCAGCAGAGCCCAGCUGCUUGUUUGCUGGGGAGGGACAGCGCUGCAGGGGCACCUCCCCCUGGCCCUCCAGCACCUUUCCACCUUGCUUCCAGGACCUCCGCGGCUCAGAGGCAGUGCAGGUGGGCUUCAGCGACAGCAGGGAGGGCCCACGCCGGCACACAAGGAAGAAGGGAAGGCGCCAGGGAUCGCCCCCCUCAGGAAGAAGAGGGACAGAGGCAAAGAUAGGAAGGACACACAUUGUGCCUUCUGUCACUUGGGCAUUUUCAAGUCAAAAUGGGGAGGGGGCUGGGGUAGGUUCGGAAACUAUCGAAAUGGCAUUGUUUGUUUCACAUUGCUGGCUGGGGGCAAGCCCUCUGCCGUGACCCUAAAUGCCCACUAGAGGUCACACCGCAAAAAGAGACCUCCCCCAAGGAGAGGGGACAAAGGGAGGACCCUGGGCACCCUGCCUCCUGCAGGGGGAGGAAGGAUGAAGCCCCGCCAUCCAUUGGGUGGGAAAAGUGCCAUGCCUCCAGCAGCACAGCCAAGCGGCCCCCCGAGGGAGGAGUGAGCUCCAUAUGGGCCCAGGUGAUCUGGCCACAACACCCUCUCUGCCUCCGCCUCACCUGCUGGUGUUGGGCACGGCCAGCCUGGGCAGCCACCAGCCCUCGCUGCCCAUCUGCUGUCCCCUCAACCCCCCAGCAGCAGACAGAAAAGUGCAGGGUCUGAGCCCCCCCGGGGAUGCUGGUGUCAGACAGAUCCCUGGAGAACAAAGCCUGUGCCCUUGUGUCCAGGUGAGGCUGCGGCACCCAGGCCCGAAGCAGGCCCCCCCAGCUGGGCCAUCCCCGCUCUCGGAGCAAGAGGGGAACUGCAGCAGGCAGCAGCCUUCUACUCGUUCCCCACGUCCUGAUUUUUUUUCAUUUUAAAAUAAAAUACGUAAGAGAAACG